UUCCUUGGAUACUUUAUUUCAUCAAUAUCCUUUCUUGUUCGCUCCCUUCAAACUUAAUCCUUGGCAUUUUUAAUAGUACAUAUUUGAUGGAUAAGUAGAUUCAAUUGCAGGCUAUUCUGAAUAGAAGACCUACUACUUAUGCAUAAUAGAUAAUUUAACGAUUGUCUUCAAGAUUUACUCACAAUCCUUUUUUGUAGUAAUGUCACGACCCAAUUCCCAAACUCGAUCGUGAUGGAGCCUCUCGUAAAGACAAGACCAACCAACUAGCCCAAAUCGUUUUUCUAACAAUUAGUAAACAUAAAUGAAUAGAAUAUACAACUUAAUGGCAUUAAAAACUGUCAACUACAAUCCAACUCAAUCCGACCGGGGUUUCACAAGUCAUGAACAUCUAAAGAAAAUUGAACGCCACUAUAAGGCCAAUAUUGUAUACAAAAUAAGAUUUAGAAGCAAAAGGUGAAGUCCGGUGCCGCGAAUGCUGGCGGCUACCUUUCUCAGCUACAAUAGUAUACCUUCAGUUCGCUAAUAAUCCGCUACCGGGUGAACAAUACCAGCAACUGCACGCGAGGUGCAGGGAGUAAAGUGAUUACUUCCAACUCAGUGGUAAUAAAAAUAAAUAAUAAUUGAGCGGUAGGAAAUCACAUAAGAAUACUUCAUCAUGCUAUAUAAGGCAGUACAACCCUUUUAGAAAACAAAUAAAUCCAUUGAAAGUCCUUUAUAAAAUAUCUCGCUCAGUUUAAAACCUCUUUUGAAAAUAUCACUUUCUUUCCUUUUUAACAGUUACGCUUAUGAUGUGAUAUCAAGUACUGCAAGUCCGCACACAAGUCAGCCACUCGGGCACAACACUCUAUUAACAAAUAAUACCAGGGUAUCUGGUACUCAGUGCAAGAAAUAACAUGGAUGCUAAUGAUAUGAGAGUGCUAAGUGUUAUGCCACGUAAUACAAACAGGAGCGAAUGCAAUGCAAUGCACAUGACCGCUGCGGCGUACAACCCGAUUUAGGUACACACGCUCACUAUGGGGGUUCAGACUCCAGAGGGGCUCCUACAGCCCAAGCGCAAUAACAAUAUCACACCGCUACGACGUGCAACCUGCUCCAUGCACAGUCAUAAAUGCACAUAAGCCACUUGAGCAAUAUCAACAUAACAACUCUCAGUUCAAAACGUCAGUAAAAUAUCAUUUAGGUUUUAAAAUCUUUGAAAAACAGCUGAGUUUGCAAAACAAUAUUUAACACUUUGGACCGAGAUCAACUAAUAUGUAGAGUAAUACAAAAACAAUGGUAUCAAUCCCUAACGGAUUCAAAUAAUUGGCAAGAAGCAGAACAAAUGGAAAACAACCCAAAUCAUAAUAAUAUCAAGUAAUUUCAGUCAAAUACGUAGUAAUUUCAGCAAUCGGGACAGACCGAGUCUCAAUCCCCAACGAUGCUCUGCCCCACGCCCAUAUCUGGCGUGCAAGUCAUCUUGAUACAGCACUAUGAUGUGCAAAUCCGGAAUUUCAAACCCUCAGGAUAUCAUUUACAAGUAUUACUCACCUCGAACCAGCGAAAUCUCAAGCCCGCGACGCCUUUGCCCCUCAAAUCGACCUCCACGGGCGUCGAAUCUAACCAAAAGCAGAGCAAAUGCAUCAUACUAUGCCAAUACCCAAUCGAAAAUAGUCAAAAUAUAGCAACAAUCUCGAAACUAGCAACCCCCUUGUCCGCUUAUGAUAUCCGCUUAUGCGGACCUGCUGAAGCGACCCCCUUGUCCGCUCAUGCGGAAAUACCCUAGACUAUGCCUGCCCACUUCUGCGACCUUCCUGCCGCCUCUACGGAGCCGCUUCUGAGCCUCCUUUUCCGCAGAUGCGGAAAUACCAGAAGACAGAAAGAUCAGACCUGCAACAGUGCUUCAAACUUCCCGUUUAACCACCCGAAAUAAAACUGAGGCCCCCGGGACCUCAACCAAAAGCACAGACAUGAUUUACUUUAUUCAAACUCGCUCGAACCAUUAAAACACUACCAUUAAUAUCAAAAUCCUCAAUUAUUCUCAAAUUAAAGCCUAAGUUUCUUAAAAACUUCUGAAUUGCACAUUCGAUCAAAAACUCAACCAGACGACGUUCGAAUGACCUGAAAAUUUGCAGACUUAUCCAAAAUCACCUAACGAAGCUACUGCAACUCUCGAAAUUUCAUUCUGACCCUCGGAUCAAAAUCUCACCUAACAACCGAAAUUCGCCAAAAUUCAAACUUAGCCAAUUCAAGCCUAUUUCUACACUGGACCUCCAAAUUCAAUUCCGAUACUCCUAACUCAUAAUUCAUCCCACGAAGCUAAUCGAAUUAUUAGAAAUUAUAUCUGAGCCCUCUAACUCAAGUAGUCAACGCCCGGUGGACUUUUCCAACUUAAACCUUCCUUAAAGAGGCUAAGUGUCUCAUUUCUUAUCAAAACCAGUCCAAAUCAACUCUAACACACCAAACACUGAUAAUGAAACAUGAAGAAGCAAUAAACAGAAAAAAUGGAGGGUAAUACAUGAGAUGACGGGUCGGAUCGUCACAAGUGUCCAAAGACAUCAUCGUUAUAAGCAUGGGCAUGACCCCGAAUUACCUAAAAUAUAGCAAUAAAAAGCUCUUAUUUAGCAUCACUUAGAUGAAAAAGUAAUGUCAAGAAUUAAAAUGUCCCUCCAGAAAAUAAAAACUAUUAAAGUCUAACCUUCGAUAAAGAAGUAUACAUCAGAAUGCUCGACCAACAUGAAUUAGUUAUCACCCUUUACACCACAUGUUGCACAUGGUAUGUUAUCUAUCAAAAAUCAUACCGAGCGAAAUAGGUUUAACACUAUAGUUUACCUUAGGAUCAAAUAGAAAUUAUAUUAGUUCUCUGCAUUAUUUUCUUAUGACAUCUUAGGGAGACAGAUGAAUUAUGACUCAAACGUAUAUCACACAACAUAUUGACUAAGGGCAAUUUUAGUAUUCAGUAUCACUACUAUGUCUCAACAAUUUUAAUAAAUUGUUACCUAACAUGACAUAAGAAAGAGUAAGUAAAUAUACUUACAGUAUCAUGGGUUCUCCAAGUUUGGGACACCUAUAUUUGAGAGAAAUAGCAAAUAUUAGCUGCAGAUAAUGCAUCGAGGACAAUACCUUUAUUUAUCGAUCAUUGUAAAAAUAUUUCUAAUAUGAAAUGCUUAACCAAUUAGUUUUGAUAAUAUUUAAUGAUGUUUGAUAUGGGCUUUAAUAUCAAUGAUAACACAUAAACAACGAGGCACCUCCACCUCUCAACUUUGAUGUUCUUUGAGGCGUUAGCAGAGUCCUAAACGUUUGUCAUAUUUACCAAAAUAAAAUAAUCAACUUUCAGCUUUAGGGAACAAAACUGCAAAUGGAAUAGGCACAAUCACAGUUAUCAUUGGAUAACAACAAAAAUUAAAGAAUAUUAUGAAUCUCCUUAAAGGAUGAUCAUUAUAUUGACAUAGACAGUUUUUUAUAUGUAAAUUAGAGAAUAGGAAACAUCAAUAGACCAGAAUGAUAUAACAAUAACCGUAAGUUUUUAAUGCAAUCCUAAGUGUAAAAGAAAUACUAUUAAUCUCGCCCCCAAAAAAAUGCAAGCAUAAGACAGAAGUAUUCCCAAAAUACCUUACUUUAGUCUCUAGCAGACCAUUUAAUACCCAAAAAACGAAAAUAUAGUCGUUUAAUACAUACCACUUCAGAAAAGGUCAAAAUCGACAAUAAUAGUUCAAUAGCCCCCUCAGCCAAACUCGACGGCUUCUUAUGAGUUCCAGUCGUUUAUAGGAUAGUAUCGAUGGUUUUCAGUACACGAUAGAAACAACAAAACUCAAUAAUUUCACAAAGAGAAACAAAUAAAGCAGUGAAAAAAUAAAGAACCGAGAAGAGACUGAAAGACGGCAAAAUGAAAUUGCAAAGGGUGAACUCCAAUUUUUUUUCACCCAGAAAGGGUUCGAAAGUGGCCCAAUUUACAUUCAGCUGAACCGAGGGGUAAAGUAUAGAAAAACUAAACCGACGGGUCUAGUUGACAUUUUGACCGGCAGCAGGACAACGAAGUCCUCCUCAUUCUCGCUUCAAAAUAAUAGGAAUAAUAUAUUUUUCUUUUUAGUCU
rnacentral:lncRNA from 1 species